ncrna:Lactobacillus brevis ATCC 367 Giant, ornate, lake- and Lactobacillales-derived (GOLLD) RNA
CGGCCCAGUGAAGCAUUUGCUUUCUCAAAAGGAAAGCGAACUUCUGGCGAAGCACUGGGUUCCGAAUAAGAUGAAUUAUUCCUAGCUAAGGAAUAGUAUGUUAAACCAUUAAAUAUAACAUUAUCUAAAAUGCAAAAGUCUUCGCCUGCUGUAUCUGAAAGUAGUCUAAUGCUCCACACACAAGGGGUGUGAAUGGAGCGUCGAUGAACUCGCAAGGUGAUUCGAUUCAGUAGCGAGUAGUGCAACCGAGUGGGUAGCUCCCAUUUAGUGAAUCGAAAGCUGCUGAGUAGGAUGCAGUAUGAACGGGUGGAACUCCUUCCACCGACUAUGGCAGUUACACGAGGGAUCGUGUGGAAACGCGACUAAGAAAUAAGGUCGUUAAAGACUGCUGCUAACGGAUGUAUUCUCAAUCU